rnacentral:rRNA from 1 species
AUACGGAGGGUGCAAGCGUUGUUCGGAAUUACUGGGCGUAAAGCGCGCGUAGGUGGUCUGUUAUGUCAGAUGUGGAAGUCCACGGCUCAACCGUGGAAGUGCAUUUGAAACUGGCAGACUCGAGUACUGGAGGGGGUAGUGGAAUUCCCGGUGUAGAGGUGAAAUUCGUAGAUAUCGGGAGGAAUACCGGUGGCGAAGGCGACUACCUGGCCAGAUACUGACACUGAGGUGCGAAAGCGUGGGGAGCAAACAGGAUUAGAAACCCCAGUAGUCC